AGCUUAAAGUCUUAGAAAUUUUAAAAGAAAGUUAUAAAGUUGAAACUGAACAGGAUAUUGUAGACAAACUGAAAAUUAAGGCUGACGCUCAGGCUGUAUUUGAUGCGUACAUUGAUUGUUUACAUUAUGCCAAGACCGACCUAAAUGCCCCAAUUAGAUUUAGUAUUCCAAGGUCUUUAGUUGCUGAAUAUAUGGGUGAAAUGUCAAAAUUCAUUGAUCAUUUCUUCGUUGACCACCCAAAAAUUAAAGUUAAAGAUUAUGCUGAGUUAAAUACAAUACAAUUUGGGGAAGUUUUUAUGUACCUUUGCGAAAAACAAAAAAUACCCAUACAAGUAUGCGCAGAACAAAAGCGAAAUGAAAGGCAAGCAAGAAAAAGCCAAACACAAAAAAAACAGAAUAAAUAAUAAGACACCAGUCUCUUAUUAAGACAAAGAAGACAUUUUAUCUAAUUAAUAUAAUAAUAGGUUUAACUUUUUUUUUUUAAAUGUUUAACCAUUUUUAAAAAUAAAAAUGUUUUAAAAUACAACA